UGAUUGAAUAUGAUAACAGAAGAUUCUUUGAUGCAUCUUUUCUAAUAUCAAUAAAUGAUUUUUAUUUUGUCUUUAAAGUGAUCCUUUCUGAGCAUUACCCAUUGGAGCAACCAAUAUUAGUUAUGCAAUCUAUUUACAAUAUCCAAAGUAAAAAUGUGCACACAUUUUUUCUUGCUGAUUUAAAUUUUAAUCCUCAAAUGGAAGAAAAUGAAAUUUUGGAAAACAUCAAAAAAUGUAUGGUGGAUAAUAUAGAAGCCUUUAAACGAAGCUGUUUCAAGAAAUAAAAUCUAAAAAUAAAAAUAAAAGUGAGUUAAAAAAAAAAAAGAUAUUUCUUUGAUGAAAUCGCUAAACAAC
rnacentral:lncRNA from 1 species